GAUGUAAGCUAUAAUGUUAUAAGCAUCUAUAUAAGCUGUUUAUCCAAACGGGGUCUAAUAAGUAUCAAAGACUAUUAAAAAACCAUAUAGUCAACAAAUUUAUAUGAAAGCUUAUUCAUUCAGAAGAUGAGCUAUGUAUUGGAUCUUCUAGUCACAUUCUUUGUCAUAUGGUCAUCACUUAAUUUCAAAUCAUUUGAAAUAAGUUUACCAUUCGGUCGAAGAAAUGUCUCUGAACGAUUAAAGUUAUAUUCCAUCCAAAGCAUCAAUUUCAAAAGCUAGGAAGAUUUUGUAGAUAAUCACAUGACAGAGUUUUCAACAAAAGAGUUAGUUUUAUUUUAUGUAAAAGAUAAUGUUAGUGAGAUUCACGUUAUAGCUCUUCAAAAUUCACGUUGAAUAUACACUCGGUAGAUAUUCCCACAUAAAAUGGAUCCUAAAGAUAGUGUUAGUGAUAAUUGUUCAUAGGAACAUUAAAUAAAGUGGUUAUAAUAUUCAUAACUUUGAAGGUAAACAUGACUAUUUAGUAAAAUAUAUGCAUUAAAGUAAAGACGGGAAUCAAACCAAGUUCAAAGAAAACUUUAAAUCUAAUCAAUAUUAAUGCAGUUUCUCUAGACAUAGUCGAACAAAAUAAACACGAAUAUAAAAGAGAUGGGGCUUAAGAAAACCAAACAAUAUUCUUAAAAAAAUUAAAAAAAAAACCAAAAUGUAACACCACAAAGAUAAUUUUAUACGCCACAGAGAGUUUAACACCUACACACGACGCCCUUUCUUGUUUUUUAUAUCUUGUCAGUCUCUGUUUGUCUUGAGUGGUGACCUGGUUAUUAAUAAAUUUAGUUGUUCAAAAAAGUGAGACUUAUUAUAUGGGGGUGCAUUUAGCAUAUGAUAAUGUGUAACUUGCAAAGCCCACAAGUGUGCUCUCUUGGCUUGCAGAAGCACAAAAUUGGUUGCCUUACUUCAAGAGCACAUAAGUGAUUAUGUAAAAUAUGGUCUUUUUGUUUAAGCAACAUGACACUAACCUAAAUCACUUUUAGUAAACCCUAUUCUUUCUGAAACCCUGAAACUAAACCCUCUUUCCUCUUUCUAAGUGUUCAUCAAAUUAGCUAGCACAAUGAGUACAUGAGUUAUGUUAGUGUAGACUGAGUAAAAACAUCGCUAUUUUUCUUUUCUAAUGGUCAUCCUUACACUUGAUAAUCGUAUAUUCUAAAUUUAGAAGUAGAAUAAAUAAUAAAUAUUUUUUACCAAUGAAUAAAUAAUAAAUAUUAAUAAUGAUAUAUUGACAUUAUUAAUUAAAGUGAAUAAUAAUUAUGUACUGACAUUGUUAUUUUUAUAUUGUUAUUGUCAAAAAGAUUUAAAGGCAGGCGAAACAUUUUUUCAAGAAAAAACAAAGUGCAAAUGACAAACUUGACAUCUAAACUAUGUUGGCUUCCCAUUAUUAUAAUCUAUAAUUUGCAGCACUCUAAAAUUAUUAUAAAUAAAUAAAUGAAAAAUGAAAAUUACAAAUAUUGAGGGGACUAGACCAAAACCUAAUAAAAGUUAACCAAGUGAUUUUAGAAUGUCCCUUGUUAACCUAUUGGGAUAAAACCCGAGUACGGGAAAAAGGUACAUAACAACUAAACAACAUAAAGGCAACAUAAACAUAAAUCAAAGUGCAUAGGAUAUGACAUGAAAAUAAAUUAUAUGUAACAUAUAAUUAUUUUACAUAUUAAUGGUUAAUAAUCCAACCACAAACAAAAUAAGUUAACGCACAACAAGUAUUGUUCAGGAAUGUUACACCCAAUUUUGUGGUUAUUUACUCGACAAUGAAUGUGACUGUUGCAUGAAACAAACACUGCAAUGUAAAAUAACAUUAAAGUAUUUUUAUUAAAAGAGUAUGAAAUAUUGUGUCUAAUAUAAAUAAGAAAAUGAGAAAAUAAUGUCGAAAAUUACUUACCGCCAUUGGUUACAUGGAGAUAUGUAUAAAGGAAGAUUAUCAGAGCAAAAAAAACUUUGAAAUGUGAGUCAUUGUUUUGAAAAAUUUUAAAGAGAUCGUUUUUGUAAAAUGAUAUGAACUUGGCGUGAUUUUGUGAUUUCAUGGAAUUGGCCUAGGAUACUUGUAUGCCUAAGAUACAAUGGAUUAACCAUUUUAUAAGUAAAAGUUUAUUGCUUGAAUUGACAUCAAUUAAAUAAAUUAAAGCUAUUGUUAAAUGGCUCUAAGGUAUAUCAGUGUGCCAAGUUUAUCCUUUAGCGCACUCAAUUAACCAGUUAAGCAUAAUAAAGAUCUCAAAUAAAAAAAAAUUAAGCCCAUAAAAAAUUUAGUAGAUUUUUUUAUUUUUUAGCCUAUCAUGAUAGAGAGGGGACAAAAUACCCAAAGAUAAAUAAUGGCAAGGUAAUUAAAAUCGGAUCGAACCAUCUGGUUUAACUAGUUGAACCGGGAACCGGACCUAUGUCUGGUCUGAAAUAAAAAGAAAACGGGUGUUGCAACGAACCGGGAAACCAGAUAAUAAAGAUUUGUUGUGCAUAAAAAUUAAAUAACAGUAAAUAAAUAUUGUUUGGAAAAGUUAUGGAGAGAGAUGAGACUAGGUCUUCCGAAUCAUUUGAUUUUCCUUAAUUGGUACACUACACCUACUUCUCAUGAAUAUUUUUUUAGUUUUAUGAUGAUUAACUAAAAUAGCCCUAAUCAAUCCCUUGACUUAGGACCCUCUUCUCAGAUUACAACCCCUAAAUCCUUAGGUGAUCUAAUAUUCUUUGAAGGUUUGAAGAAUGUUAACCUAAUAUCACAAAUACUUGAUUGAGGUGUAUUGUUUUGAAAAAUGUCAAAAAGAUUGUUUUUGUAAAAUGAUACGAACUUGGCGUGAUUUUGUGAUUUCUUGGAAUUGGCCUUGAAUACUUGUCUGCCUAAGCUACUAUGGAUUAACCAUUUUAUAAGUAAAAGUUUAUUGCUUUACCAACAUCAAUUAAAUAUAUUUUAACACUAAAGAGGUGAAAAAUUGUUUACUAUAUUAAAGUUAUUGUUAAAUGGCUCUAAGGUAUAUCAGUGUGCCAAGUUUAUCCUUUGGCGCACUCAAUUAACCAUUUAAGCAUAAUAAGGAUCUCAAAUAAAAAAUUUAAACCCGGCAAAAAUUUAGUAGAUUUUUUAUUUUUUAGCCUAUCAUGAUAGAGAGGGGACAAAAUACCCAAAUAUAAAUAAUGGCAAGGUAAUUAAAAUCGGAUCGAACCAUCUGGUUUGACUCGUUGAACUAGGAACCAGAACUAUGUCUGGUCUGAAAUACAAAGAAAACUGGUGUCGCAACGAACCGGGAAACCAGAUAAAAACUGGAUGAACCGGGAAAACCAGCGGGCUACACGGUUUGGCAGGUUGAACCGCAUUUUACAAUUUUUUUGAAAAAAAAUCUCAAACCAGAUUUGUUAUGCCAUAAGUCUGAACUAAGAAAAGUUAUGGUGGUUUUAUAGCAAGAAGACAUAAAUCUAAGUAGAAUAAAAAUAUAGAGGAGACCAUGAAAUGGAGAUCUUGGAGAAAAAACGAAAAGGAUAAUCAUAGUUGGUGGGUUGCGUUGCUGCUAUUUAGAAAUUAGGGUUAGUGUGACAUUUAUACUUAUAAUAACUGAUAGACUUUUAGAAGGUGUACUAAAACUAUUGAACUAAUACAAUUAAUGUUGUUUCCAUGAGAACAAUAUUAAUCUCAAGUAAACGAUAGCAUUAUGAAAUAGGAUGUGUAAAGUUAUUUAGUGCCUGAGACAGUAGAUUUGUUGUGCAUAAAAAUUAAAUAACAGAAAAUAAAGAUUGUUUGGAAAAGUUAUGGAGAGAGAUGAGACUAGGUCUUUCGAAUACUUUGAUUUCCCCUAAUUGAUACACUACACCUAUUUCUCAUGAAUAUUUCUCUAGUUUUACGAUGAUUAACUAAAAUAGCUCUAAUCAAUCCCUUGACUUAGGACCCUCUUCUCAGAUUACGAUCCCUAAUUCCUUAGGUGAUCUAAUAUACUUUAAAGGUUUGAAUAACGUUAACCUAAUAUCACAAAUACUUGAUUGAGGUGUAUUGUUUUGAAAAAUGUCAAAAAGAUCGUUUUUGUAAAAUGAUACGAACUUGGCGUGAUUUUGUGAUUUCUUGGAAUUGGCCUAGGAUACUUGUAUGCCUAAGCUACUAUGGAUUAACCAUUUUAUAAGUAAAAGUUUAUUUCUCUAUUGACAUCAAUUAAAUAUAUUUUAACACUAAAGAGGUGAAAAGUUGUUUAUUAAAUUAAAGUUAUUGUUAAAUGGCUCUAAGGUAUAAUAAUGUGUCAAGUUUAUCCUUUAGCGCACUCAAUUAACAAGUUAAGCAUAAUAAAGAUCUCAAAUAAAAAAAUUUAAGCCCGUCAAAAAUUUAGUAGAUUUUUUUUAUUUUUUAGCCUAUCAUGAUUGAGAGGGGACAAGAUACCCAAAUAUAAAUAAUGGCAAGGUAAUUAAAAUCGGAUCGGACCAUCUGGUUUGACUAGUUGAACCGGGAACUGGAACUAUGUCUGGUCUGAAAUACAAAGAAAAUUGGUGUCGCAACGAACCAGGAAACCAGAUGAACCGGGAAAACCGGCGGGCUACACAGUUUUGCAGGUUGAACUGCAUUUUUAAAAUUUUUUGAAAAAAUAACUCAAACCAGAUUUGUUAUGUCAUAAGUCUGAACUAAGAAAAGAUAUGGUGGUUUUAUAGCAAAAGGACAUAAAUCUAAGUAGAAUACAAAUACAGAUGAGACCCUGAAAUGGAGAUCUUGGAGAAAAAAUGAAAAGGAUAAUUGUAACGCCCUAUUUUAAUAUUUAUUUAUUUUAUUGAGUUUAGGUGUCUUUCCAUAAUUUAGUCGAUUUAUUCUGAUGGGUGAUAUUUUGUUAUGUUAUAUGUUGGUAUUUAUUAGUAUAAUAUAUAUGUUAUUUGGUGUAGAAAUAUAUAUAUAUUAUCUGGUGUAGAAAUAUAUAUGUUAUUUGGUGUAGAAAUAUAUAUAUUAUCUUGUGUAGAAAUAUAUAUGUUAUGUGGUGUAGAAAUAUUAUGUUAUUUGGUGUAGAAAUAUAUGUUAUCUGGUGUAGAAAUAUAUUUCUUAUUUGGUGUAGAAAUAUAUAUAUAUAUAUAUAUAUAUAUAUAUAUAUAUAUAUAUAUAUAUAUAUAUGAGGGCAAAUUUAGAAAUAAGAGAACAUAAGUAGGUUAAUGAUUUUUAUAAAAGGGCAGAUUUGGAAAUAAGAGAAAAUAAGUAGGUUAAUGAAAGUUAGAAUUAGAAAAUAAGGAUUACGUGAAACUGCUUUUGAGAGAAAAGCGUGAAAGUGAGAAGUCAAGAGAAGAGAAGAGUCAGAGAAGAGAAAGUGGUAGAAUCUUGUAGAGUCCGAUCAUCUAAUCUAAGGUAAGGGUGGGACUAAAUUUCUCUAAUUCUAAGUUGUAUAAUUCUGAAAUUGAGUUUAGCAUGUUGUAGGUUGUAGUUAUGGAAAUUUGGGAAUUAGGUUUGAAGUUGUAAUUGGUUGUUAAUAGAGUAGAAAAUCCGUUGAAUUUGUGUAGAAGUGAUGUUUAGAUCAUGGGUUAUUUUUAGUGCAAUCUUUUAUAUGGUUUUGAGUGCCUUAACAUGUAUAGAAAUGGUUCGACAUGUUUUUUGGAUCAAAUUUGGGCAUAGGGAAGUUAAAAUUGGGAUUUUGGGGUGAAAAGUGGGUUUUUCCCGAGUUGCUCUCUGACAGCACGUCCUGUUUCAUGUUCUUGCGUCUUUUUCACACGUUUCUGUUUUGAAUUGGCCUUUGGUGUAAACAUGAAAGUUGUAGAUAAUUGAGUUAGCUUUCCAGUGGCUUUGAUUUGACGAGAAAAUGAUUUUUGGUUCUUGAGAUAUGAUGAAAAUACUCCAAGGAGGUUUUAGUGAAAUCUUAUGAAAAUUCAGCAUAACCGUUUCUAAUUUAAUCCAAAACUUAAGGAAUAAUUCCAAACCUCAAAACUAGAAGUACUAUGAGUUCAACUAGGGUGUUUAAGAUUAUUUAAGCUAUGUUGUGAUGGAUCUAAUUUGGUUUGACGUGAAUAUCUUUGUUGGAUAAUUUGAAAUACAUAUAUUAUGUGAAUGUUGUUGUUGAAUAAUUUGAGUUACAUAUAUUUAUGUGGAAAAGGUAUGAUAUAGAAAAUAAUGUUGUUAUACCAUUCAAGUUGUUAUUAUUAAUGAUGCUAUGUUGUGAAGUUGGUGUAUGUGUUUGUCUCUACUGUAUUGAUUAUUAAAUCAUUAAGUUGCAUAUGUUGGUCAAGUUGUUAAAGUUGUAAGUUGUUGUCAAUGUAGUUAAAGUUGUAAGUUGUUAUCGAUGUCGUUGAAGUUGUUAGUUGUCGUUGCAUUAGUUGUUGAGUCCAUGCAUACUCAUUUACGUUGAGGGCAUGAUGCCAUGUGAGCUUUUGCUCUUUAAGUUGAGGGCUUGAUGCCCUGGGAGUGUAUUUAUGCUCAAUACGUUGAGGGCUUGAUGUCCUGUGAGCUUUUGCUCUUUAAGUUGAGGGCUUGAUGCCCUGAGAGUGUAUUUUUGCUCAAUAUGUUGGGGGCUUGAUGCCCUGAAUUGGUACCACAUGCAUGAUUAAGAAGUUGAAGUUGCAUAUGUUGAGUUUAAGUUGUAGAAGUCGCAUUGUCGUUGUCGUUAAGUUGUCAUUUGUCAAUGAGUUGUUAAUAAAGAACUAAGCGAAGUAUUAAUAUUUAUUAAUCGUUGUUGUUUAUGUCGUUAUGAGAUGAUGUUUAUGAUGUUGUUAUUUAUGUCGUUAUGAGAUGAUGUUUAUGAUGUGUUGUUUAUGUUGUUAUAAGAUGAUGUUUAUGAUGUGAUGAUUAUGUCGUUAUAUGAUGAUGUUUAUGAUCUGAUUAUUAUGUGCUAUAUGAUGUUGUAUAUAAUGUGAUGAAUAUGAAGUUAAUAAUGAUUAGAAGUUGGUUGAGUUAUUAAUGAAGUAUUAUAACAAGAGUUAAUGUUAUUAAUUGAUGAAGUUUAAGUUGUUAAAUGCUUUUGAUGAAUUAUAUGCUUAUUAUUAUUGAAUGUGAAAUCUCACCCCUUCUGCUUGGAAAUGUUGCCCUCACAAUUGGGUAACUUGCAGGUAAUCUAGAAUAGUUGUGGUCGUGAGUGGACUCUCUCACGUGUCAUCGUCUUAAGUGCUCUGAUACGUAACGGGAUGAGAAUUUUGUUGUUGCUCUUUGUUCCUUACGUAUUAUUUUAUGAAGUUUUAUGAACAUGUUGUUGGAAUAAUUUUAUGAGAUUUUACCUUGAGGCCUUUGUGUCAAGGUUGUUUUAAACGUUAAAAUAAUUUCCGCUACAAUAAGAUUUAAUUUGAUGAUUGAGAUAAUUAGUAAUUUUACUAUAUUCAGAUUUGAAAGAAGUGUAACAUCCAGUUUUUAGUUGUUUACUCUGAUAUAAGUGAAAUUUUUCAAGUUGGGAAAACGGGGUGUUACAAUAAUCAUAGUUGGUGGGUUGCGCUGAUGCUGCUAUAUAUUCAGAAAUUAGGGUUAGUGUGUCAUUUAUACUUAUAAUAACUGAUAGACUUUUAGCAGGUGUACUGAAACUAUUGAAGUAAUACAAUUAAGUUCUUUUCCAUGAGAACCGUGUUAAUCUCAAGUAAACAAUAGCAUUAUGAAACAGGAUGUGUAAAGUUAUAUUAGUGCCCGAGGCAGCAGGUGCAUAAAAAUUAAAGGCUAAAAUAUGGUUUUGGUCCCUCAAAUAUGCCUCGUUUUGGUUUUAGUCACUGUAAAUUUUUUUUGUUGUUUUUGGUCCCUGCAAAUAUGCCUCAUUUUGAUUUUGGUCCCUGGCUCCACUUUUGUGAUGAUUUGCACACGUGGCACAUGAUGACUGAACCCAUUUAUUAGAGAAAUAGUCCCUGCAAAAUCUUUUGAUUUUACAAGGACCAAAAACAACAAAUUUUUUUUACAGGGACUAAAACCAAAAUGAGGCAUAUUUGCAGGGACCAAAACCAUAUUUUAGCCAAAAUUAAAUAACAGAAAAUAAAGAUUGUUUGGAAAAGUAAUGGAGAGAGAUGAGACUAGGUCUUUCGAAUCAUUUGAUUUUCCCUAAUUGGUACACUGCACCUAUUUCUCAUGAAUAUUUCUCUAGUUUUACGAUGAUUAACUAAAAUAGCCCUAAUCAAUCCAUUGACUUAGGAUUCUCUUCUCAUAUUACAAUCCCUAAUUCCUUAGGUGAUCUAAUAUACUUUAUAGGUUUGAAGAACAUUAACCUAAUAUCACAAAUACUUGAUUGAGGUGUAUUGUUUUGAAAAAUGUGAAAAAGAUCGUUUUUGUAAAAUGAUACGAACUUGGCGUAAUUUUGUGAUUUCUCGGAAUUGGCCUAGGAUACUUGUAUGCCUAAGCUACUAUGGAUUAACCAUUUUAUAAGUAAAAGUUUAUUUCUUUAUUGACAUCAAUUAAAUA
rnacentral:lncRNA from 1 species